GAUGAACGCUGGCGGCGUGCUUAACACAUGCAAGUCGAACGGAAAGGCUCCUGCUUGCAGGGGUACUCGAGUGGCGAACGGGUGAGUAACACGUGGGUGAUCUGCCCUGCACUUCGGGAUAAGCCUGGGAAACUGGGUCUAAUACCGGAUAGGACGAUGGUUUGGAUGCCAUUGUGGAAAGUUUUUCGGUGUGGGAUGAGCUCGCGGCCUAUCAGCUUGUUGGUGGGGUAAUGGCCUACCAAGGCGUCGACGGGUAGCCGGCCUGAGAGGGUGUACGGCCACAUUGGGACUGAGAUACGGCCCAGACUCCUACGGGAGGCAGCAGUGGGGAAUAUUGCACAAUGGGCGCAAGCCUGAUGCAGCGACACCGCGUGGGGGAUGACGGCCUUCGGGUUGUAAACUCCUUUCGCUAGGGACGAAGCGCAAGUGACGGUACCUGGAGAAGAAGCACCGGCUAACUACGUG
rnacentral:rRNA from 1 species